rnacentral:rRNA from 2 species
GCGUUGCCGGGGUGCCUAAUACAUGCAAGUCGAGCGGACAGAAGGGAGCUUGCUCCCGGAUGUUAGCGGCGGACGGGUGAGUAACACGUGGGUAACCUGCCUGUAAGACUGGGAUAACUCCGGGAAACCGGAGCUAAUACCGGAUAGUUCCUUGAACCGCAUGGUUCAAGGAUGAAAGACGGUUUCGGCUGUCACUUACAGAUGGACCCGCGGCGCAUUAGCUAGUUGGUGGGGUAAUGGCUCACCAAGGCGACGAUGCGUAGCCGACCUGAGAGGGUGAUCGGCCACACUGGGACUGAGACACGGCCCAGACUCCUACGGGAGGCAGCAGUAGGGAAUCUUCCGCAAUGGACGAAAGUCUGACGGAGCAACGCCGCGUGAGUGAUGAAGGUUUUCGGAUCGUAAAGCUCUGUUGUUAGGGAAGAACAAGUGCGAGAGUAACUGCUCGCACCUUGACGGUACCUAACCAGAAAGCCACGGCUAACUACGUGCCAGCAGCCGCGGUAAUACGUAGGUGGCAAGCGUUGUCCGGAAUUAUUGGGCGUAAAGGGCUCGCAGGCGGUUUCUUAAGUCUGAUGUGAAAGCCCCCGGCUCAACCGGGGAGGGUCAUUGGAAACUGGGAAACUUGAGUGCAGAAGAGGAGAGUGGAAUUCCACGUGUAGCGGUGAAAUGCGUAGAGAUGUGGAGGAACACCAGUGGCGAAGGCGACUCUCUGGUCUGUAACUGACGCUGAGGAGCGAAAGCGUGGGGAGCGAACAGGAUUAGAUACCCUGGUAGUCCACGCCGUAAACGAUGAGUGCUAAGUGUUAGGGGGUUUCCGCCCCUUAGUGCUGCAGCUAACGCAUUAGCACUCCGCCUGGGGAGUACGGGUCGCCAAGACUGAAACUCAUGGAUGACGGGGGGCCCGCACAAGCCGUGAAGCCAUGUGGUAAUCGAUGCCAACACCGUCCGUAAGAAACCAUUACCCGAGGGUCUCUCUUA